rnacentral:rRNA from 1 species
UACGUAGGGCGCAAGCGUUGUCCGGAAUUAUUGGGCGUAAAGAGCUCGUAGGCGGCCUGUUGCGUCCGCUGUGAAAUCCCGGGGGCUCAACCCCCGGGCCUGCAGUGGAUACGGGCUGGCUAGAGGCAGGCAGGGGAGAACGGAAUUCCUGGUGUAGCGGUGAAAUGCGCAGAUAUCAGGAGGAACACCGAUGGCGAAGGCAGGUCUCUGGGCCACUACUGACGCUGAGAAGCGAAAGCAUGGGGAGCGAACAGG